CCGAGUUUUCUACUCAAACCCUUGCGAACAUACCGUCAGAUGCUUCGGCGACCAGCCCCGGGGGGGGCACUACGCGGUCGCCGAUAGUAUUCAAAAUCUCUGUCAGAAGUCUUCUGAAUCAUACAAAAAAACAAUCA
rnacentral:misc_RNA from 1 species